GGUUGGUUUAAAAAUUGCAAGUCGGAAGGGUCUCUUCGGAGAUAGUGGCGGACGGGUGAGUAACGCGUGAGAAUCUGGCUCCAGGUCGGGGACAACAGUUGGAAACGACUGCUAAUACCGGAUGUGCCGAGAGGUAAAAGAUUAAUUGCCUGGAGAUGAGCUCGCGUCUGAUUAGCUAGUUGGUGAGGUAAAGGCUCACCAAGGCUACGAUCCUUAGCUGGUCUGAGAGGAUGAUCAGCCACACUGGGACUGAGACACGGCCCAGACUCCUACGGGAGGCAGCAGUGGGGAAUAUUGGACAAUGGGCGAAAGCCUGAUCCAGCAAUGCCGCGUGAGUGAUGAAGGCCUUAGGGUUGUGGAGCUCUUUUACCCGGGAUGAUAAUGACAGUACCGGGAGAAUAAGCUCCGGCUAACUCCGUGCCAGCAGCCGCGGUAAUA
rnacentral:rRNA from 1 species